GAAUUUCUGCUGCAUCGCCUUUGCUCCCUUACGAGUUUUGGCAUUGCGGCUUAUUUCGGAUUUGCUUGCAUUUCCGAAUGUUUACUUUGAGAAAAUUAGAGUGCUCAAAGCAGGCUUUUGCCUUGAAUAGUUUAGCAUGGAAUAAUGAAGUAGGACUUUGGUUCUAUUUUGUUGGUUUUAGGUACCAAAGUAAUGGUUAAUAGGAACAGUUGGGGGCAUUCGUAUUUAACUGUCAGAGGUGAAAUUCUUAGAUUUGUUAAAGACGAACUACUGCGAAAGCAUUUGCCAAGGAUGUUUUCAUUAAUCAAGAACGAAAGUUAGGGGAUCGAAGACGAUCAGAUACCGUCGUAGUCCUAACCAUAAACUAUGCCGACUAGAGAUUG
rnacentral:rRNA from 1 species